AGUCAAAACUCUACCAAUUGCCAGUGGUGAAGCUGGUAUAAGCCACAUAUCUCUGAGCCAAUUUUCUUAUCAUCAAAGUGAAGACAAUAGCACCAGCCAUACCUUCCUUAGGGCGUUUUGCAGGCUAAAUGAGAUAGUGGAUGAGAAAGCAUCUUCAGAAUUGCUACCCUCUUUUGAACUAUAGUGUUGCUGUUGGUAAUAAUAUUAUAAGCAGAGCUGAAUGGGGAGUUCCUAAGCAACCAUCUGAACUCAGAUCCCUCGUUGGCUGCUCUUCAGAUUUCUCUCUUCAAUUCCAAGUGCAUCGUAUGUAAACAAUAGUGUCUGUGAUAGUGGAUGUGAUUGUGUGCUACCUGGAUCUCCUAGCUGAAAUCCUUCCAAGAAUUUCCUUCAGUCAAUGGGACCCACCUCCCCUGAGGUUAUGGCUCCAGGUGAAGAUUAAACAGCUGUAGAAGUGUCAUCCAAGAUUGACCAAUGCUGUUCCUGACAGUCCUUCCUGGAGAGCCAUCUGCACACACAUCUCAGUCUCAGAGUCUAUUUCCCAAUGAAUCUAAUCUGAGAGAUCUCUUCACUUGCUGUUUUUUCCCUGUA
rnacentral:lncRNA from 1 species